GAGUUUGAUCCUGGCUCAGAUUGAACGCUGGCGGCAGGCCUAACACAUGCAAGUCGAGCGGAUGAAGGGAGCUUGCUCUCUGAUUCAGCGGCGGACGGGUGAGUAAUGCCUAGGAAUCUGCCUGGUAGUGGGGGACAACGUUUCGAAAGGAACGCUAAUACCGCAUACGUCCUACGGGAGAAAGCAGGGGACCUUCGGGCCUUGCGCUAUCAGAUGAGCCUAGGUCGGAUUAGCUAGUUGGUGAGGUAAUGGCUCACCAAGGCGACGAUCCGUAACUGGUCUGAGAGGAUGAUCAGUCACACUGGAACUGAGACACGGUCCAGACUCCUACGGGAGGCAGCAGUGGGGAAUAUUGGACAAUGGGCGAAAGCCUGAUCCAGCCAUGCCGCGUGUGUGAAGAAGGUCUUCGGAUUGUAAAGCACUUUAAGUUGGGAGGAAGGGUUGUAGAUUAAUACUCUGCAAUUUUGACGUUACCGACAGAAUAAGCACCGGCUAACUCUGUGCCAGCAGCCGCGGUAAUACAGAGGGUGCAAGCGUUAAUCGGAAUUACUGGGCGUAAAGCGCGCGUAGGUGGUUUGUUAAGUCGGAUGUGAAAUCCCCGGGCUCAACCUGGGAACUGCAUCCGAAACUGGCAAGCUAGAGUAUGGUAGAGGGUAGUGGAAUUUCCAGGUGUAGCGGUGAAAUGCGUAGAGAUCUGGAGGAAUACCGGUGGCGAAGGCGGCCUCCUGGACGAAGACUGACGCUCAGGUGCGAAAGCGUGGGGAGCAAACAGGAUUAGAUACCCUGGUAGUCCACGCCGUAAACGAUGUCUAUUUGGAGGCUGUGCCCUUGAGGCGUGGCUUCCGGAGCUAACGCGUUAAAUAGACCGCCUGGGGAGUACGGCCGCAAGGUUAAAACUCAAAUGAAUUGACGGGGGCCCGCACAAGCGGUGGAGCAUGUGGUUUAAUUCGAUGCAACGCGAAGAACCUUACCUGGUCUUGACAUCCACGGAAGGUCUCAGAGAUGAGACUGUGCCUUCGGGAACCGUGAGACAGGUGCUACAUGGCUGUCGUCAGCUCGUGUUGUGAAAUGUUGGGUUAAGUCCCGCAACGAGCGCAACCCUUAUCCUUUGUUGCCAGCGGCUCGGCCGGGAACUCAAAGAAGACUGCCGGUGAUAAACCGGAGGAAGGUGGGGAUGACGUCAAGUCAUCAUGGCCCUUACGACCAGGGCUACACACGUGCUACAAUGGCGCAUACAAAGAGAAGCGACCUCGCGAGAGCAAGCGGACCUCAUAAAGUGCGUCGUAGUCCGGAUUGGAGUCUGCAACUCGACUCCAUGAAGUCGGAAUCGCUAGUAAUCGUGAAUCAGAAUGUCACGGUGAAUACGUUCCCGGGCCUUGUACACACCGCCCGUCACACCAUGGGAGUGGGUUGCAAAAGAAGUAGGUAGCUUAACCUUCGGGAGGGCGCUUACCACUUUGUGAUUCAUGACUGGGGUGAAGUCGUAACAAGGUA
rnacentral:rRNA from 1 species